rnacentral:rRNA from 1 species
GGGCCCGCACAAGCAGCGGAGCAUGUUGUUUAAUUCGACGCAACGCGAAGAACCUUACCUGGGUUUGACAUGACCGUGUAACUCCUGGAAACAGGAGCCCCUCGCAAGAGGCGCGGCCACAGGUGGUGCAUGGUUGUCGUCAGCUCGUGUCGUGAGAUGUUGGGUUAAGUCCCGCAACGAGCGCAACCCUCGUUCUAUGUUGCCAGCGCGUUAUGGCGGGGACUCAUAGGAGACUGCCGGGGUCAACUCGGAGGAAGGUGGGGACGACGUCAAAUCAUCAUGCCCCUUAUGUCUUGGGCUUCACGCAUGCUACAAUGGCCGGUACAAAGGGUUGCGAUACUGUGAGGUGGAGCUAAUCCCAAAAAGCCGGUCUCAGUUCGGAUUGGGGUCUGCAACUCGACCCCAUGAAGUCGGAGUCGCUAGUAACCGCAGGUCAGCACACUGCGGUGAAUACGUUCCCGGGCCUUGUACACACCGCCCGUCACGUCAUGAAAGUCAGAGAUACCUGAAGCCGGUGGGCCAACCGCAAGGAGGUAGCCGUCGAAGGCAGAGCUGGCGAUUGGGACG